CCAAUUAUAUCAUCUUUCUCUUAAAGCUGAAAGAGAAGUACAUGGACGUCGUCAACAGCAUACUUUCAGGUCCAACCCUGGACGAUCUUUUUCGCAAACAGCGUUCCGUUGACAAGCCCAAGGCUUCUGUUGCCCAGCCACCAGCGACACCAUCUACUACUACACAUGCUUUUGAGAUGAGCAAUUUGUCUCCUGUGCAGUCCCAACCGUAGAAGAAAG
rnacentral:lncRNA from 1 species